UGGCUCAGUUGGUAGAGUAUGGUGCUUGCAAUGCCAGGGUUGUGGGUAUGAUUCCCAU
rfam:Salmo salar isolate Sally breed double haploid chromosome ssa22, whole genome shotgun sequence.